UAGAAAGUCACCAAGCUUCACUUGAACGUCUUAAAGUGUCACAUCGUAUCUGGUGGUUGACGUCAUCAAAUUACCUCUACAAUCCGCUUGUUUGUGUAAAGCAGCAAUUCCCAAAGUGUGGGCCGCGAAGGUACUGCAGGUUGUUGUGAAGGUGUGGACUCUGCUAUGAAUCAGGCUGAGGACCCA